rnacentral:rRNA from 1 species
UACGAGGGGGGCAAGUGUUGUUCGGAAUCACUGGGCGUAAAGGGAGCGUAGGCGGGCUUUUAAGUUGGAUGUUUAAAACCGGGGCCCAACCCCGGCGUGGCAUCCAAAACCGGGAGUCUUGAAUGGAACAGAGGCUAGUGGAAUUGGAGGUGUAGCGGUGGAAUGCGUAGAGAUCUCCAAGAACACCCGUUGCGAAGGCGGCUAGCUGGGUUCACAUUGACGCUGAGGCUCGAAAGCGUGGGGAGCAAACAGG